rnacentral:rRNA from 1 species
AUGACGUUCAGAAGAGAUUUAAUUGGACCCAGACUCCAAUCAUGGUACAUCCUGCUCCAACUGUUGUCCACAGUGCAUUUGUCAUAUGGGUCUGAUGUAUUUCGAUGGAACCUACCUGGGAAUGGGCAAUUCUUAGUGGAAUCUAUGUAUAGAGCAUUAAUCCAGUCUAAUGUGCCAGAUGAUAAUAAUAAGAAGAUCUGAAAGAUAAAGAUACCUCUUAAGAAUAAAAUAUUUGCAUGGUAUCUUCGUCGUGGAGUCAUUCUGACUAAAGAUAACCUUAUCAAGAGGAAAUGGCAUGAAAGUCCGCAAUGUAUUUUUUAUCAUCACAAUGAGACAAUAAAACAUUUAUUCUUCCAAUGCAAAUUGGCUCGAUCUAUAUGGUCAGCCAUCCAGAUAACUAGUCAUCCAGAUAACUUCUGGCUUGUAUCCUCUUUGUAG